GUUUAAGCUAAUGCACACGUAAGGAAAAGAGAUAACGAAAAAAAAAAACCAAAUUUUUAUGGCUAAUUGUUGAAUUUACAAGUGUUUAACUGUUACUACUUGUUCAGAAGCAUCAUUAGACACAAGCCCUUGCAAAUAGAGAAACAAUUAUAUGAAAUAACAGUUUCUUGUUCAACCGAUUACUUAUAGAGUUGUAGCAAAUCUCACAAGACUAAUUUCAUUCCACUUGAAAGACUACAUAGAAAACAGUCAAUUAUUCAUUUAUUAUAUAGUAUAUGUAUAGCAAACGACGAAAGAGAGAAUAAGUUCAUAUUUAAGCGAGAAAUGAAAACGUACUCUAUCCAUAUUGCAGAGAAG
rnacentral:misc_RNA from 1 species